UACUAAAUAUAGAAAUCUUUUAAUAUUAAUGACCAGAUCCAUAUAUAUAUAUAUAUAUAUAGAGUUUGACUGGGCUACUAUCGGUAGUAAACUGCUCGGUUUACUACCAAUUUGUUUUGGAUGAUAGAGCUUCCGAAUCGACGAUCGGCAUCGUUGAACAUGAUCUAGACCAUUUAAAUUAUCUAGAAAUCAAAUUUCAUGAUUUUUUGGCAUCACUAACUGAACGAUCAAAGGGUCACAAAAUCUAUAAUUUUAAUGGCCGAUAUGGUGCGUUUGCUUGUUUAACGGUAUAGAAGAGUUCAAAUCAACUAAAUUUUUGUUAAAAAAUUCUUUAAACUAUUUAAAAUAAGAUCUAGACUCUAGAUCUCAAAUAUAAAAAUUGUAUCAUCACUUUUCGAAGAAUAUUCAUUUCCAGCCAUUUAUUUUUCUAUUCACUUGAUGGACAAGAGAACAAUAUCAAAAAUGUGUGAAAUUUGAUUUCCAGAUAGUUUAAAUAGUUUAGAUCAUAUUUAACAGUGCCGAUCAUUAAUUUGGAAGCUCUAUCACGAAAAUAAAUCGAUAGUAAACCGAGCAGUUUACUACCGAUAGAAUUCUAGCAAAACUCUCUCUCUCUCUCUCUCUCUCUCUCUCU
rnacentral:lncRNA from 1 species